AGCACCUUAUUCCGUCAUAUUGUCUCUGGAUUAAAUGUAUUCCUAAUGUCACUUUUAUAAACAAAUAAAAGUUAAAACUUUACAAUAUUAUUGUAAAUUUGCAAUUGGAAGCUGCAAAAGGGACAUUAGAAUGUCAGCAAGGUCGGAACAAUUUUCGAUUUAAGUGGAAUUUACGGAAGGAUUAGGAACCUCACAACUAAUCUGCAAAAUGAAGAAGCAACAUAUUUUGUUACCGCUUAGAAGAAACAAUAGAAAUAGUACUGUGGAUUGAUAAAUAAAGAGUGAAAAUAAGGUUGACUAGAAGUUGAUAAAGUCCAAAGAAUUAAAAAACAAUAGAAAAAAAACGUAGACUAGUGUGAUCACUGAAAUUAGAGUUUAAAUCAAACUUUUAUAUAAGUGUAGAUUUUAUUAGUGAUUUGCUACUAGUUGGAAUUAUCUCUGUUUAUGUCCAACAAACAAUUUCAGUUUAAGUUGGAGUCAUAAAGGUUGAUUGUUUAUAAUAAAUUUAUACUUUUAGAAAGUGAGAAUUGAAAAGCAGCAAGUACUCAAUGAAAUGAAAAGAGGGAUUAAUAAAAAUUAUAAAAUAGAAACUUA